rnacentral:rRNA from 1 species
CCUUCGGGUGGCAGCAGUGGGGAAUAUUGGGCAAUGGGCGCAAGCCUGACCCAGCAACGCCGCGUGAAGGAAGAAGGCUUUCGGGUUGUAAACUUCUUUUCUGAGGGACGAAGAUAGUGACGGUACCUCAGGAAUAAGCCACGGCUACCUACGUGCCAGCAGCCGCGGUAAUACGUCGGGGGCAAGCGUUAUCCGGAUUUAUUGGGUGUAAAGGGCGCGUAGGCGGUAAGGCAAGUCAGAUGUGAAAGCUCAGGGCUCAACCCUGGGACUGCAUUUGAAACUGUUUGUCUUGAGUGUUGGAGAGGCAAGCGGAAUUCCGGGUGUAGCGGUGAAAUGCGUAGAUAUACGGAGGAACACCAGUGGCGAAGGCGGAUUGCUGGACAGUAACUGACGCUGAGGCGCGAAAGCGUGGGGAGCAAACAGGAUUAGAUACCCGUGUAGUC